GACGAACGCUGGCGGCGUGCUUAACACAAGCAAGUCGAACGGAAAGGCCCUGCUUUUGUGGGGUGCUCGAGUGGCGAACGGGUGAGUAACACGUGAGUAACCUGCCCUUGACUUUGGGAUAACUUCAGGAAACUGGGGCUAAUACCGGAUAGGAGCUCCUGCUGCAUGGUGGGGGUUGGAAAGUUUCGGCGGUUGGGGAUGGACUCGCGGCUUAUCAGCUUGUUGGUGGGGUAGUGGCUUACCAAGGCUUUGACGGGUAGCCGGCCUGAGAGGGUGACCGGCCACAUUGGGACUGAGAUACGGCUCAGACUCCUACGGGAGGCAGCAGUGGGGAAUAUUGCACAAUGGGCGGAAGCCUGAUGCAGCAACGCCGCGUGCGGGAUGACGGCCUUCGGGUUGUAAACCGCUUUCGCCUGUGACGAAGCGUGAGUGACGGUAAUGGGUAAAGAAGCACCGGCUAACUACGUG
rnacentral:rRNA from 1 species